rnacentral:lncRNA from 1 species
AGUCGAAGUUGCCUCUCUCAAUUUUUAUACUCAAUUAUUUUCAGAUAUUUUGAUGUUUGGCACGUUGGUGCUGGAGCCUUUUCAAAUCGAGGCGAUCCGAAAAGAUUUUUUUAGAAUUCUCGCUGGAGCAUUACUCUAGAUACGGUGCAAUAAUAAUUCUGUCAGUUGUCAGCCACCUUCAGCCGCCUACCACGGUGAGUGGGACAUGCGGCGAUUGCAGAUCGGC